rnacentral:rRNA from 1 species
UACGUAGGGUGCAAGCGUUUAAUCGGAAUUACUGGGCGUAAAGCGUGCGCAGGCGGCUUUGCAAGACAGAUGUGAAAUCCCCGGGCUUAACCCUGGGAACUGCAUUUGUGACUGCAUGGCUGGAGUGCGGCAGAGGGGGGAUGGAAUUCCGCGUGUAGCAGUGAAAUGCGUAGAUAUGCGGAGGAACACCGAUGGCGAAGGCAAUCCCCUGGGCCUGCACUGACGCUCAUGCACGAAAGCGUGGGGAGCAAACAGG